rnacentral:rRNA from 1 species
AGGUGGCAAGCGUUGUUCGGAAUUACUGGGCGUAAAGCGCGCGUAGGCGGCUCUUCAAGUCAGGCGUGAAAGCCCCGGGCUUAACUCGGGAACUGCGCUUGAUACUGUCGAGCUAGAGUGUGGAAGGGGCGAUUGGAAUUCCGUGUGUAGCGGUGAAAUGCGUAGAUAUACGGAGGAACACCAGAGGCGAAGGCGGAUCGCUGGGCCAACACUGACGCUGAUGUGCGAAAGCUAGGGGAGCAAACGGG